rnacentral:rRNA from 1 species
AGUGAACGCUGGCGGUAGGCCUAACACAUGCAAGUCGAACGGCAGCACAGUAAGAGCUUGUGCUUACGGGUGGCGAGUGGCGGACGGGUGAGGAAUACAUCGGAAUCUACUUUUUCGUGGGGGAUAACGUAGGGAAACUUACGCUAAUACCGCAUACGACCUACGGGUGAAAGCAGGGGAUCUUCGGACCUUGCGCGAUUGAAUGAGCCGAUGUCGGAUUAGCUAGUUGGUGGGGUAAAGGCCCACCAAGGCGACGAUCCGUAGCUGGUCUGAGAGGAUGAUCAGCCACACUGGAACUGAGACACGGUCCAGACUCCUACGGGAGGCGGCAGUGGGGAAUAUUGGACAAUGGGCGAAAGCCUGAUCCAGCCAUACCGCGUGGGUGAAGAAGGCCUUCGGGUUGUAAAGCACUUUUGUUGGGAAAGAAAAGCAGCAGGUUAAUACCCCGCUGUUCUGACGGUACCCAAAGAAUAAGCACCGGCUAACUUCGUG